UACGGAGGGUGCAAGCGUUGUCCGGAUUUAUUGGGUUUAAAGGGUGCGUCGGCGGCCCGUUAAGUCAGUGGUGAAAGCCUCCAGCUCAACUGGAGAACUGCCAUUGAUACUGACGGGCUUGAGUACAGACGAGGUAGGCGGAAUUGAUUGUGUAGCGGUGAAAUGCAUAGAUACAAUCAAGAACUCCGAUUGCGUAGGCAGCUUACUAGGCUGUAACUGACGCUGAGGCACGAAAGCGUGGGGAGCGAACAGG
rnacentral:rRNA from 1 species